AGACCUACAAGAAUCUGACAAAUGAUAUGACUUCUUGAAGCAAGCAUUAUCAGGAUCAUAUUGUAUAACAGUACUGACCCUACAAGCUUUAUUCUCUUUUAUAUUCGGCACAUUUCCAUCUAUUUUGUCACCUUUGCUCAAAUAAUUUAAUAAUUAAACUGGAUUGCCAGGAUCCCAAUAAAAUGUAAGUGACAAAACAGACUUCCCUACCGUGCCAAUUGUGUCGAGGAUCGACCAGCUGUAACAAUUUACAUUGCUUAUUUAAGGAAAGAGCCAUAGGUGGUGGCAAUUGAAUCUAGGACCCAUCCAACAUAUCUAAAGCAUCUGAUAAAACCAGUGGUGUGCUGGUAAAUGUUUAACCACCAUCUCCCCGAAAAGAAAAGAAAAAAGAAAAGAAAAGAAAAGAAAAGAAAAGAAAAGAAAAGAAAAGAAAAGAAAAGAAAAGAAAAGAAAAGAAAAGAACCCUGAUUUAUAGUGUUUGUUGAUUUCAUGGUACAAAUACUCCCACCGUGGCCAUUUUGAAGCCAACAAUGUGAAGUCUCUGAACUCAGUCUUGGGAAGAGAUGCCACAGUGGGCUCUCGUGACUCGGCAGGAGCUGGUUCCAACACACUACUGAGUAAAAAAAAAAAAAGCACAAAAUGGAUCGCCUUUUCACAAAACCGCUCAAAAACUUUUCAAGGUCUGGUCUGAUAUAAUGAUUGGCAUCCAGAAGAAAGGCAUUCCAAGACCUGUCUCAAUAUAUAAAGCCCUUAUGGAUAAUAGGGAUGACAUUUCACCAACUCAGAAGUCUGCAAAGAUAGAAAGUUCAAGACCUCAGCUUUGGUCACAGAGUUAUUGCGUCACCGCUGUAUCUGAGAGUCCCUCUAGACUGAAGUUAAGCGAUGCAUUUUGCUGAAAGCAAGCCUUGGCGUGCAAGACCACCUUCAAGGGUUCGUGGCUCCAGCUGGGAAGAGAGCAAGAACUAGUAGUAUUGAGCACGUGCUGCAGACACGGGGCUGGCAUCGCUCACAGCAUCUCUCCUCGAAGCAAGGAGACCACCCGCGUGGCCCACGGCAGGAUUCUCGGCAUAAUUUUUUUUUCAGUAUUCGGAACAAUUGUGUCUAGAAGACUAUAAACGCACUUGUUGAUUUAUUGUUUUUUAUAUUGUCCAUCUUACUCUACCUCCUUCCCCGGCUAGAAUAGAUUUAUCUCCUUCUGUCUUCCUUUCCCCCCCUUUUUUUUCUUUCCACCACCAGAUUCCCAGGACCUAGAAGAGUGCUGGUGAGCCACAGCGGGCACUCAGAUAUGUGGAAUGAUUAGGUGAUUUUACCUUAGGGUUUUCUUUUCAUGUCCCUGCAAAGACUCUACCCUAGCAGGUCUUGUGUUUGAUUCCUGAGAACAAAAUGGCCAUUUUGAGCAUUUGCAUGUGAAGAUCGCAUUCUUCUCUGCUGUAAAUAAAACUCAAACAUUUCUCCCA
rnacentral:lncRNA from 12 species